GCGUGAAAUUUGGUAAGUAUUGUAAUAAAACCGAAUUAUUUUACAAAUAAAUUAUAAUUUUGCAUUUAGUAUUAGGUAAUUUCCUUAGUGUUUUCCUGGCCGACCUGUGCUGGUAUUGUAAUUAAGAGCAAAUACACCAUUCUCUGGUGAAUUGCAGCUGCGGCCGAAUUUGAUUGUGUGCAUCAUCCUGCAGAUAUUUUGAAAUUUUGUGGACGCUUCUGCUGUGCUGCGUUCCUCCGCCCGUGUAUUGCUCCGCCCGUGUUUUAUAGUGUUGCGUUCCUGUUGCGCCUUUGCAUUAGUGUGUGCGUUGUGCUUUAGACACGUUGAAAUUGUUUCUAUGCUUCUGCUGUGCUGCGUUCCUGCUUCACCCGUGUAUUAGAUUGCAGCGUUCCUGUUAAUAUAAACAUCGUCGUUUAAGUACAAAACCGCGUAACUGACAUUUGCUGCUAAAAAUUGGAUUUGCUCACACAAGUUC
rnacentral:lncRNA from 1 species